rnacentral:rRNA from 1 species
GUAGGGAAUCUUCCGCAAUGGACGAAAGUCUGACGGAGCAACGCCGCGUGAGUGAUGAAGGCUUUCGGGUCGUAAAACUCUGUUGUUAGGGAAGAACAAGUGCUAGUUGAAUAAGCUGGCACCUUGACGGUACCUAACCAGAAAGCCACGGCUAACUACGUGCCAGCAGCCGCGGUAAUACGUAGGUGGCAAGCGUUAUCCGGAAUUAUUGGGCGUAAAGCGCGCGCAGGUGGUUUCUUAAGUCUGAUGUGAAAGCCCACGGCUCAACCGUGGAGGGUCAUUGGAAACUGGGAGACUUGAGUGCAGAAGAGGAAAGUGGAAUUCCAUGUGUAGCGGUGAAAUGCGUAGAGAUAUGGAGGAACACCAGUGGCGAAGGCGACUUUCUGGUCUGUAACUGACACUGAGGCGCGAAAGCGUGGGGAGCAAACAGGAUUAGAUACCCUGGUAGUCCACGCCGUAAACGAUGAGUGCUAAGUGUUAGAGGGUUUCCGCCCUUUAGUGCUGAAGUUAACGCAUAAGCAUUCCGCCUGGGAGCCCCCGAAUUUUUUGUUUUUAAUUCC